AUUGAACGCUGGCGGCAGGCCUAACACAUGCAAGUCGAACGAGUGGGGACGGGUGAGUAACAUGUGGGUAACCUCCCAUCAGAGGGGACAACACUUGGAAACAGGUGCUAAACCGAUACCGAUGGAUGGAUCCGCGGUGCAUUAGCUAGUUGGUGAGGUAACGGCCCACCAAGGCCACGAUGCAUAGCCGACCUGAGAGGGUGAUCGGCCACACUGGAACUGAGACACGGCCCAGACUCCUACGGGAGGCAGCAGUAGGGAAUAUUCGACAAUGGACGAAAGUCUGACCGAGCAACGCCGCGUGAGUGAAGAAGGUUUUCGGAUCGUAAAGCUCUGUUGUUAGAGAAGCGGUAUCUAACCAGAAAGCAACGGCUAACUACGUGCCAGCAGCCGCGGUAAUAC
rnacentral:rRNA from 1 species